rnacentral:lncRNA from 1 species
GCAGGACGUACGCUGACGUUGCAUCAUGGAGGAUAACGGGUAAGAGAAGCAGACACAACACCCCCCGUUUAUUCCUGAGCGUCCCAGCGAGGCCGUGUGGGCGUGGCCCAGUCGGCUGGUGGGUGGCGAGUGGGAGGUUCUGAGCGUGUGACUUUCACCACAGCUCCAUCCACAUAAGGAGGUCCUCAUCAUUCCGAUGACUGAAAGCCCCAGCCCGUCCCCCAAACAGAGCACAUCGCCGGUGCCAGCGGACUCACCGAAACCGGCCCCCACGGUCUCUUCACAGCUGUUUGCUGAGCUUCUGGAAAGCCACGCCCGCCGAAGGCCCGCCUCCCCAGAGCAGAUGACCCUGCAGACCCCUUCUGCCCCAACCCCAACUCCUCCCACCUCACCUACCACGCCCACACCCUCCCCAACCCAGGCCACGCCCAGCGCCCCGCCCAGCGCCCCGCGGGGCUCCACAGGCGGCCUGGGCCUCGGGAGUCCAGAGCUUCUGAGUGAGCUGAAGAAGCCGCACACGCUGAAGACCCGCCCCGCCCACAAGGCCAUGACCAUCAUCUUCUCUGGGAAGGGCCGGGUGCCCUCCAGCGAGGGACAAGGCGUGGCCGGUGGACCGCAGGACUAAGUCGUAACGAUGUUGAUAUGGUGCUGACGCAGUGUAAUGUAAUGAGGCCGUUUCAUCGACUUGUCACAAAACCAUCCCAAUAAAUUCUUGAAAGAUUUCGGAUGAUUCUCUGUG